UCAUUCGUCUACGAACUUGGCGACAGGUCUUCCAAAUUAUCAUCGUGGAUGAUACUCAGAGUUGGUUCUAGAUGGAGAUGGAGUUUUGUGCAAACCAAAGCAUUUUCUUUUAGCAAACAUCCCCUUAAUGGUAUGUUUUGUGGUGGUCGAAGAGACGUUAUCCUAUUAUUUUUCAUCGUGAGUUAGCAUUGAAAGCAUUUAAAGCGAUACAGGUAUCAAUAUGUCGAAGAUAACUCAAAUUAAUUUAUGGAUUGAACCUUUUCCUGAACUUAUUCUUCAAGAAGGAACUGUGUUUUGUCGCGCCUGCUCUAGACCGAUACAUACUACCUAUAGAAUCACCGGAAAAACUUUUUGUUGGAAUAUUUCGAAACCUAUCUAAAAAGAAAUUGUUAUCAAAAU